CACGGGGGGAGCAAGCGUUGUUCGGAAUCACUGGGCGUAAAGGGCGUGUAGGCGGUCAAGUAAGUGGAAUGUGAAAGCCCCCGGCUUACCCGGGGAUCUGCAUCCCAAACUGCUUGGCUUGAGUACGGGAGAGGAUAGGGGAAUUCCUGGUGUAGCGGUGAAAUGCGUAGAUAUCAGGAGGAACACCUGCGGUGUAGACGGCUUACUGGACCAUAACUGACGCUGAGGCACGAAAGCGUGGGUAGCAAACAGG
rnacentral:rRNA from 1 species